ACCUUGGCUUCUUCCCUUCUUCCUUCUCCCAAGAUAGCCUCAUUGCCACCGCCAGCCCUCAUCUCCGCAGAUGCCGCCACCGCCACCGCCAUAUCUCAUCACAUAUUUUUCUUCACACUCUACUAUGUGAUUCAGAAGCAACCAGCCACCGCUGGCCCUCAUCUCAUUUCCAUUUUGUUAUUGAGAGUGUUUGUGUUGCUAGGCUUACAAAACGGUUGUUCCUUUGGCUGGUUCGCCUGGGAAAAGCACUGAAGAUCAGCACCAUCUGGAUUUCUUGAUUAGCAAACCUUGAUAAAGUUUGCAUUCUUGGUUGUAGCAUUUCAUCAGGUCUUGGUGUUGUUUUUAAUGUAGCAAAACCAGCAAAGGGAUCAUUAGUUGCUAUUUUCGCCCUUGGAGCUAUAGGACUUGCUGUGAGCUAUCCUUCACCUUUUCUAAUGCCUUCAAAUUUUGGUAGCCGAACGGCCAUUAUUUCUGCGGAACAAUGAUCAUGUGCGGAAUUUUGAUAACCCAAAACCGGAAGGUCAUUCUACCAAUCAUCUUCCCAGCUUUAGAGAAAAACACACAAGAGCACUGGAACCAGGCUGUGAGCAAAGUCAACUUUGAAUGUGAGGAAGCUCUUUUUGGAUGCUGACGAAGAACUUUUCGAGGAAUGCUUAACAAAAUUCCAAGAAAACAAGGCCAAGGAAAGAGAGUUGCAAAAUAAGCUGGAAUUAAUUUGGAAACGCUUAGAAGAAAUUGCAGCAUCCAAAGCUGUCAGCAACGAAGCCAUGCUUGUCCCUCAUGUUAGAUCCUCCCUUACCAUUCCAAGCACUAAUCCUGCAUGUUAGUUGCUGCUCAUUGUAAGGUUAAAAAAAAAAAUGCCUUUUGUUUUUAGCAAACAUAUUCAUGGUGCCCAAUAUAAGUUUGUGCAUUUGCAAGUGCCUUGAUCCUAUCAUUGUCCAUUGUCCAUGCUGCUAAUAUCCCUCCAAAGGUACCCUUCUUUCAUUUAUUUACUAUUUCCAAUUUCUUUUGUCUCCAUUUCUGGACUAUUCAAGUAGCCUUGUCCAAAUGGAAAUGACAUGAAGUCGAAGUGGUCCCUCGGCCGCAUUCACCCGUCUCCAAUUCGAUUUUGUUUUUAUUCCUGAUUGUUUCUUAGUUAUACAUGCCAUUUAUGUUCUGUUAAUCCUGCAACUCUGCUAUUCAGUAAUUUGAGAAAAUUUUCAAGCGAAA